UACGUAGGGUGCGAGCGUUGUCCGGAAUUAUUGGGCGUAAAGAGCUCGUAGGCGGUUUGUCGCGUCUGGUGUGAAAAUCCAGGGCUUAACCCUGGACCUGCAUCGGGUACGGGCAGACUAGAGUGCGGUAGGGGAGAUCGGAAUUCCUGGUGUAGCGGUGAAAUGCGCAGAUAUCAGGAGGACACCGGUGGCGAAGGCGGAUCUCUGGGCCGUAAGCUGACGCGUGGAGGAGCGAAAGCA
rnacentral:rRNA from 1 species